UCUUAAAAAUGAGUAAAAAAAGGGGUUUCUUGAGAUGAAAUCUACUCUUGGUGAAGAUGCUGUGAA
rnacentral:pre_miRNA from 1 species